rnacentral:rRNA from 1 species
AAUAGAUACCCGGGUAGUCCAUGCCGUAAACGUUGGGAACUAGGUGUAGGGACCAUUCCACGGUUUCUGUGUCGCAGCUAACGCAUUAAGUUCCCCGCCUGGGGAGUACGGCCGCAAGGCUAAAACUCAAAGGAAUUGACGGGGGCCCGCACAAGCGGCGGAGCACGCGGAUUAAUUCGAUGCAACGCGAAGAACCUUACCAAGGCUUGACAUAUACGAGAACGGGCCAGAAAUGGUCAACUCUUUGGACACUCGUAAACAGGUGGUGCAUGGUUGUCGUCAGCUCGUGUCGUGAGAUGUUGGGUUAAGUCCCGCAACGAGCGCAACCCUCGUUCUAUGUUGCCAGCACGUAAUGGUGGGAACUCAUAGGAGACUGCCGGGGUCAACUCGGAGGAAGGUGGGGAUGACGUCAAAUCAUCAUGCCCCUUAUGUCUUGGGCUUCACGCAUGCUACAAUGGCCGAUACAAAGGGCUGCAAUACCGUAAGGUGGAGCGAAUCCCAAAAAGUCGGUCUCAGUUCGGAUUGAGGUCUGCAACUCGA